rnacentral:rRNA from 1 species
UGGGGAAUUUUGGACAAUGGGCGAAAGCCUGGUCCAGCAAUGCCGCGUGUGUGAAGAAGGCCUUCGGGUUGUAAAGCACUUUUGUCCGGAAAGAAAUCCUUGGCUCUAAUACAGUCGGGGGAUGACGGUACCGGAAGAAUAAGCACCGGCUAACUACGUGCCAGCAGCCGCGGUAAUACGUAGGGUGCAAGCGUUAAUCGGAAUUACUGGGCGUAAAGCGUGCGCAGGCGGUUUGCUAAGACCGAUGUGAAAUCCCCGGGCUCAACCUGGGAACUGCAUUGGUGACUGGCAGGCUAGAGUAUGGCAGAGGGGGGUAGAAUUCCGCGUGUAGCAGUGAAAUGCGUAGAGAUGUGGAGGAAUACCGAUGGCGAAGGCAGCCCCCUGGGCCAAUACUGACGCUCAUGCACGAAAGCGUGGGGAGCAAACAGGAUUCAGAUACCCUGGUAGUCCACGCCCUAAACGAUGUCAACUAGUUGUUGGGGAUUCAUUUCCUUAGUAACGUAGCUAACGCGUGAAGUUGACCGCCUGGGGGAGUACGGUCGCAAGAUUAAAACUCAAAU